GGACAUCACAACGCAACAAAGCCCCAAGGACAAAACCUGCAACAAAAAUGUAAGAAGAGUUAUAAAAUUAAAUUAGGGUUUCUUCUGGUACAUAGCCUCCCCGGAGUUUGAGAGAGAACUCGCAGCCUCCGGUCUCGACCAAGCAACGAACAAAAUGCCGAAGCAGAUCCAUGAGAUCAAGGAUUUCCUUCUAAUUGCAAGAAGGAAGGAUGCCCGCAAUGUCAAAAUCAAGAGGACCAAGGAUGCUGUCAAGUUCAAGGUUCGGUGCUCCAAGUACCUUUACACACUUUGUGUGUUUGAUUCCAAGAAGGCCGACAAGUUGAAGCAAUCUCUUCCUCCAGGUCUGAACGUUCAGGACCCUUGAACAAGGAUUUUGGAGUAGCUGGUGGGCAAAUUCUAGUGAAUGCAGCAAUGGAAUGAAUCUAUUUUUGUUUGAACUUAAAAAGAUUAUUAUGGCGGGAUGAUGAUGAUAACGUUGUUGGUAUUAGAUGUUAAAAUGCCGAGAUAUUUUUGGUUAAUGUGUGUGUGUGACCUAAGUGAUUUGUUUAGAUGUUUUGGUUAUGGAUCCAUCUGGUUUGUGUUUC